rnacentral:rRNA from 1 species
UACGGAGGGUGCAAGCGUUAUCCGGAUUCACUGGGUUUAAAGGGUGCGUAGGCGGGCAGGUAAGUCAGUAGUGAAAUCUCCGGGCUUAACCCGGAAACUGCCGUUGAUACUAUCUGUCUUGAAUAUCGUGGAGGUAAGCGGAAUAUGUCAUGUAGCGGUGAAAUGCUUAGAUAUGACAUAGAACACCCAUUGCGAAGGCAGCUUACUACACGAUCAUUGACGCUGAGGCACGAAAGCGUGGGGAUCAAACAGG